UACAGAGGUCCCAAGCGUUGUUCGGAUUCACUGGGCGUAAAGGGUGCGUAGGUGGUGAGGUAAGUCGGAUGUGAAAGCUCCGAGCUCAACUCGGAAAUGGCAUUGGAAACUACCUUGCUCGAGGGUUUGAGGGGGGGGACUGGAAUACUUGGUGUAGCAGUGAAAUGCGUAGAUAUCAAGUAGAACACCAGUGGCGAAGGCGAGUCCCUGGAAAACUCCUGACACUGAGGCACGAAAGCUAGGGGAGCAAAACAGG
rnacentral:rRNA from 1 species